rnacentral:rRNA from 1 species
AGAGUUUGAUCCUGGCUCAGAUUGAACGCUGGCGGCAUGCUUUACACAUGCAAGUCGAACGGCAGCGAGGAGAAGCUUGCUUCUCUGUCGGCGAGUGGCGAACGGGUGAGUAUAGCAUCGGAACGUGCCAAGUAGUGGGGGAUAACCAAACGAAAGUUUGGCUAAUACCGCGUAAGCUCCAAGGAGGAAAGUAGGGGACCUAAUAAGGCCUUACGCUAUUUGAUCGGCCGAUGUCGGAUUAGCUAGUUGGUGGGGUAAUGGCUCACCAAGGCAAUGAUCCGUAGCGGGUCUGAGAGGACGAUCCGCCACACUGGGACUGAGACACGGCCCAGACUCCUACGGGAGGCAGCAGUGGGGAAUUUUGGACAAUGGGGGAAACCCUGAUCCAGCCAUGCCGCGUGUAUGAAGAAGGCCUUAGGGUUGUAAAGUACUUUUGUUAGGGAAGAAAAGCUAGUUUUUAAUAAAAAUUAGUGAUGACGGUACCUAAAGAAUAAGCACCGGCUAACUACGUGCCAGCAGCCGCGGUAAUUC